rnacentral:rRNA from 1 species
UGGGGAAUAUUGCACAAUGGGGGGAAAACCCCGUGAUGCAGCGACGCCGCGUGAGCGAAGAAGUAUUUCGGUAUGUAAAGCUCUAUCAGCAGGGAAGAAAUUGACGGUACCUGAGUAAGAAGCUCCGGCUAAAUACGUGCC